AUUGAACGCUGGCGGCAUGCCUUACACAUGCAAGUCGAACGGCAGCACGGGAGCUUGCUCCUGGUGGCGAGUGGCGAACGGGUGAGUAAUACAUCGGAACGUACCCUGAAGUGGGGGAUAACGCAGCGAAAGUUGUGCUAAUACCGCAUACGAUCUGUGGAUGAAAGCGGGGGAUCGCAAGACCUCGCGCGAUUGGAGCGGCCGAUAUCAGAUUAGCUAGUUGGUGGGGUAAAGGCCCACCAAGGCGACGAUCUGUAGCUGGUCUGAGAGGACGACCAGCCACACUGGAACUGAGACACGGUCCAGACUCCUACGGGAGGCAGCAGUGGGGAAUUUUGGACAAUGGGCGCAAGCCUGAUCCAGCCAUGCCGCGUGAGUGAAGAAGG
rnacentral:rRNA from 1 species